UACGUAGGUGGCAAGCGUUGUCCGGAUUUACUGGGCGUAAAGAGCGCGCAGGCGGUCGUUCAAGUCGCGUGUGAAAGCCCCCGGCUCAACCCGGGAACUGCGUCCGAUACUGGAAGGCUUGAAUCCGGGAGAGGGAUGCGGAAUUCCAGGUGUAGCGGUGAAAUGCGUAGAUAUCUGGAGGAACACCGGUGGCGAAGGCGGCAUCCUGGACCGAGAUUGACGCUGAGGCGCGAAAGCGUGGGGAGCAAACAGG
rnacentral:rRNA from 1 species